rnacentral:rRNA from 1 species
UACGUAGGUGGCGAGCGUUGUCCGGAUUUACUGGGCGUAAAGGGAGCGUAGGCGGACUUUUAAGUGAGAUGUGAAAUACUCGGGCUCAACUUGAGUGCUGCAUUUCAAACUGGAAGUCUAGAGUGCAGGAGAGGAGAGUGGAACUCCAUGUGUAGCGGUGAAAUGCGUAGAUAUAUGGAAGAACACCAGUGGCGAAAGCGGCUCUCUGGUCUGUAACUGACGCUGAGGUUCGAAAGCGUGGGUAGCAAACAGG